rnacentral:rRNA from 1 species
UGGGUGGCGAGUGGCGGACGGGUGAGGAAUACAUCGGAAUCUACUCUGUCGUGGGGGAUAACGUAGGGAAACUUACGCUAAUACCGCAUACGACCUACGGGUGAAAGUGGGGGACCGCAAGGCCUCACGCGAUAGAAUGAGCCGAUGUCGGAUUAGCUAGUUGGCGGGGUAAAGGCCCACCAAGGCGACGAUCCGUAGCUGGUCUGAGAGGAUGAUCAGCCACACUGGAACUGAGACACGGUCCAGACUCCUACGGGAGGCAGCAGUGGGGAAUAUUGGACAAUGGGCGCAAGCCUGAUCCAGCCAUACCGCGUGAGUGAAGAAGGCCCUCGGGUUGUAAAGCUCUUUUGUUGGGAAAGAAAUCCUGUUGGCUAAUACCCGGCAGGGAUGACGGUACCCAAAGAAUAAGCACCGGCUAACUUCGUGCCAGCAGCCGCGGUAAUACGAAGGGUGCAAGCGUUACUCGGAAUUACUGGGCGUAAAGCGUGCGUAGGUGGUGGUUUAAGUCUGUUGUGAAAGCCCUGGGCUCAACCUGGGAAUUGCAGUGGAUACUGGAUCACUAGAGUGUGGUAGAGGGUGGCGGAAUUCCCGGUGUAGCAGUGAAAUGCGUAGAGAUCGGGAGGAACAUCCGUGGCGAAGGCGGCCACCUGGGCCAACACUGACACUGAGGCACGAAAGCGUGGGGAGCAAACAGGAUUAGA